UCCAUCAUCGAAGGAGCCCGUGAACGUGGAUCUAUCCCCAAGAUCCGCAUCCAAAGGAGCCCAUGACAAGGAGGCCUAGCCGGAGGAGCCACGACGCUGCUCCAUAUCGGCAGAGAAUCUAUGAUAGCCGGUGGCAGGAAAUCGCCUGGAACCCUAGAGCUGCUCGAGGAAAGGAAGAUCACUAGAGACUGCACCACAUGGAAGAUCAAUGGGGCUGCAGAUAAGGAGGAGGUUUAUUAGAUUAUAACAACUAGAACCGUACUAUUGAAGCACUCUAGUACACAAUAACACUAUAAAGAUGAAGGAUGACAAGAAGUCACCUCAGCACUCAAAAGAUGGUGGCACAGGAAGGACAUCACAGCUUGAAGAGCAACCAGCUGGAUUCAAGAUCUUGCACACCACACAAUCCAUCAGCUUGCAUGAAGCACUAAAGGAUUCAAGGCUUCGAUUGUUCUUUCUACCCAAGUCAUCACCACCUAUAGCUUUGAAGUAAGUUUACUUUUGCUCAGGUUGUAUUCAUGUUGAUGUCCUGCGGUGAGAUGAUUUUUUUAGCACUAAGUGUGGUGAAAUUGAUUUGAUUUGGACAAUUGUUUGGCAAGAUUUUCUAUAUGUAUUGUUGCAUGUACUAUGAUCUACAUCCUGGAUCUCUAUAUCCUGCUAGAGACUAAUCUACAUCCUGGAUCUCUAUAUGUAUUGUUGCAUGUACUAUGAUCAUCACUUGACUUGUUAUGUAUGGUCAUCACUGGACCUAUAUAUGUAUGCCUCUAUGUACCAUGAUCAGCACUUGACCUGUUAUGUAUGAUCACCAUUAGACCUAUAUAUAUAUAUAUGGCUCUUUGUGCUAUGACCAUCCAGUUGGUGUAUGUAUGGAGAUCUGAUAUUUUAAUUCUGAUUAUGUGAAUUUGCUCGAUUAGUGUGAUGUGUAUUUAUUAAAAUAUUCAAAUUGUAUCUACACCCAACUAUCUGCAAUAUAGCUUUGCCGACAC